rnacentral:rRNA from 1 species
AUACGUAGGGGGCAAGCGUUAUCCGGAUUUACUGGGUGUAAAGGGAGCGUAGACGGAAUGGCAAGUCUGAUGUGAAAGGCCGGGGCUCAACCCCGGGACUGCAUUGGAAACUGUCAGGCUAGAGUGCAGGAGGGGUAAGCGGAAUUCCUAGUGUAGCGGUGAAAUGCGUAGAUAUUAGGAGGAACACCGGUGGCGAAGGCGGCUUACUGGACUGUAACUGACGUUGAGGCUCGAAAGCGUGGGGAUCGAACAGGAUUAGAUACCCUGGUAGUCCACGCCGUAAACGAUGGGCGCUCGUCGUCGGCGACAGACAGUCGGCGGCCAAGCGAAAGCGAUAAGCGCCCCACCUGGGGAGUACGGUCGCAAGGCUGAAACUCAAAUGAAUUGGCGGG